rnacentral:lncRNA from 1 species
AACACAGUGCUCCUUACAAGUGUUUGUAUUGUGAACACAGACUCUGAUAUUUCAAGGGCAGGUGUGACAGGAACAAGAUAGAGGAAGGCAUGGUGGUGACCUCCUAAAAGCUGCACUAGGCUGGGCUGCAGCUUUUUUGAGUACUGUAAAGGCUGUGCAGUUGCAGAAAGAGACAGAGGUGAUUAGGGCAGAGCUGCCCACUCAUGUAAUAGAGUGGGAGUGCCAGCAUGCGGCAGCUGCCUGCUGCACAGCUGAAUGCCUGCAGCAUUAGGCAGAGGGGUACAGUUGCAGCCAGCUGGAGAGUCAGGUGGGCCAACGCACAGCUAAGUCCUUAUCACUCCACCGGUGGUGAGGGAGAAGCUAGAGCUGGAUUUUUGUGUGUGUCACGCAUGAUCAGUUUUGCUAGAGAGCAGAGCAGGGGACCAAAUGACUUCCAUCUCACUACCCCUUUUCUACUUGGCAGCUUACCUGAGCCAUAUGUCCUGCUUGUGCAUGCAUGUUGAGCACCAAGAGCUCUCCUGGGAUGGUUCCCUGGUUGGUCAGGAGCAAAGUCAUGCAGGGGCAGCCCAGGCAGGGCUGCUCACUGGGGCCCUGCUUCACCUGGAUCCCAGCAGCUCACAGAGACAUUGCUGAUCGUCAUGCAAGGGUUGUCUGCAGCGCUGUGUGAUCCUUGCAUGCAUCCUCACAAAAGUGGCAUCUUCUCACCCGGAAUGAUGACUUCCUCUCAGCUGGAGCUUUCAGCGGAAAUGGACAGCUUCCAGAGGAGAUUCUCUAUGCUGCAGGCUGGGAGUGGGGAUGCUGGUUGGGAAAGCUGUUCCAGCAUUGUGGUGGGGGUUAAACUAGACGGAUGUCAUCUGGCCUUGCAGAGAGCAAAUAAUGCCUCAUUGCCUCGUACCAGUUUCAUUGUGAGCAGCUCUUUUGAAAAUAUUGUGGUAGCUAUAUAUAAAGUGGGGUGUUGAGGUUUCUAUUUUAGAUUUAUUUUUGCUCCUUAAUAACAAUGUGCAGUAGAUUUGCCAAACAUAGCGCUCUCCAGGCUGAAUUGUACUUGCUCAGCCUGAUGUACAGAAUCUUAAAUGCAUCUAAAUAACACCCAGCUGGCACAGUUCAGACUGUAGCUUUCUGUACCACUUUUGUGUAUGGUACAGAUGUGGCAGACAAAUCUAACAAACUUUGGGGGGAAGCAUCGGAUGUAAAUUGAGAACAAUUAGCAAAAAGAAUGGAAAAAUCCUCCCUGAAAUAAAAAUUCUGUUCAGAGAGCCUACGUGUGAAAG